CCUACGGGACGCAGCAGUGGGGAAUAUUGGGCAAUGGGCGCAAGCCUGACCCAGCAACGCCGCGUGAAGGACGAAGGCUUUCGGGUUGUAAACUUCUUUUCUGAGGGACGAAGAAAGUGACGGUACCUCAGGAAUAAGCCACGGCUAACUACGUGCCAGCAGCCGCGGUAAUACGUAGGUGGCAAGCGUUAUCCGGAUUUACUGGGUGUAAAGGGAGCGUAGACGGUGAUGCAAGUCUGAAGUGAAAGGCGGGGGCCCAACCCCUGGACUGCUUUGGAAACUGUAUGGCUGGAGUGCAG
rnacentral:rRNA from 1 species